rnacentral:rRNA from 1 species
GAUGAACGCUGGCGGCGUGCCUAAUACAUGCAAGUCGAGCGAACGGACGAGAAGCUUGCUUCUCUGAUGUUAGCGGCGGACGGGUGAGUAACACGUGGAUAACCUACCUAUAAGACUGGGAUAACUUCGGGAAACCGGAGCUAAUACCGGAUAAUAUUUUGAACCGCAUGGUUCAAAAGUGAAAGACGGUCUUGCUGUCACUUAUAGAUGGAUCCGCUCUGCAUUAGCUAGUUGGUAAGGUAACGGCUUACCAAGGCAACGAUGCAUAGCCCACCUGAGAGGGUGAUCGGCCACACUGGAACUGAGACACGGUCCCGAAUCCUACGGGAGGCAGCAGUAGGGAAUCUUCCGCAAUGGGCGAAAGCCUGACGGAGCAACGCCGCGUGAGUGAUGAAGGUCUUCGGAUCGUAAACCUCUGUUAUUAGGGAAGAACAUAUGUGUAAGUAACUGUGCACAUCUUGACGGUACCUAAUCAGAAAGCCACGGCUAACUACGUG